ensembl:lncRNA
GGGGGGGGGGGGGGGUCCUAUGGGGGGUCCUGUGGUAAUGAGCUGUUACUCUCAGAGGAAGAAGAGCUCUAUUACAGGAAGCUUCUAUUUUGAGGUUCAUCUCCUGCUUCAGCCGGAACACGCCCUCCACUGGGGGGGGGGGGGGGGGGCUUCAGGUAGAACAACAUCGUUCCAGUUUGGUCCUUGAAUGGAGGACGAUGGAGGACGCCGAUAUCCUUCCGAUGCUACAUGGGGGGUUUGCCGACACACUCCAGGUCGCAGGUUGAAAGUCAAAUGUCUUCAGGAGACAUUCGUCCAUCGUUAUCGGCUCGAACGUGGACGUCGUGUCCUUCAUCAGCAUUCUGUGGGACUGAGGAGGUCGGCUUUCAUCUCAUGUGUGAUAGGGUUGUCUUUCUUUGUCUGACAUGAACACUCUUCAAACUAAAAACAUCUGUUUGAAAAGGCCUCCAGACAACAUCAGUCCUCCCUCACAGGGAACGUAACGCUGCUCUGACGGAACUGAAGUGUAUACAUUUAUAAGUAUAUAAGAAUAUUUGGGUAUAUAAGUGAUUAAGUGCAUAAUUGCAUCGGUUUAUAUAAACGUAUACGUUUAUCAACAUUUAAGUUUAAAAGUGUAAAGUAAAAUACUUUUUGUGUUUCAGGAGGUUGAACUUGUCACAAGUUCUCUGGUGGGGACACAGAUGUUGACCAGGUGAAUAUUUAUUGACCAGGGGAAGCGGUAUCACCAACGUGCAGGCAGGUGAAUACUGGUUCAGGUCGCCAGGCGGGAGUGACGGAGAAGAACAAUCGGUCAGAACACAAACAACGACUACAGAGAGUAAGAGAUCAACUGUUGCGUUGAUGUUGUUGUUGUUGUUGUUGCAGCUGGAUACGCGAGCGCACGUACAGGUAUGCUAACAAUCCGACAGGGACUGGAUGUCGGGUCUCUGCUUAAAUGCUGUGGCGGUGAUCAGGGCCAGGUGUGUUGAUUGGGCACAGGUGGGAGCCGGCGCUGGUGAUCUUGUCGUUGCUCGGCAACCGGUGGAUCGUGGUUCUAUCUGGACUCUGCUGACACCUGCUGCUGCUCAGUUAUUAUCAUCACUCACAUUACUAUUACUGUCAUCUUGAACCAACGUUUCUGACUUUGCUUCCUUCCUGAAGUCUUUAUGCUUUCCCUCCCCACUGGUUUCUGUGGCUACUGGUUCUAUAUCAUCCUUACGGCCUUACUGACCGUUGAUCCAGGUUUCAUAAAACCAAAGUUACAUACGUUUAUUUUGUUUUGUUAGAUCUCUGGGUGGUUCUAUCUGAUGGUGGUUACAUUACAUUACAUGUCAUUUAGCUGACGCAUUUAUCCAAAGCGACUUAAGGCUUGUGGACUGCGAGAGGCUUGCGUAGCUUUUGACACUAGUCUAGAAAAAUGGGUUGACGCAUACAAGGAGAAAACGCAGAAGCAUAAACUGGGCUUUACAGUCAGAGCAUUUCAACCAUAAGGACUCAAAAGGACAAGAAACAGGCAGAGAUCCGAGUGAGGGAAGGAGAGAAUUAGUUGGGUGUCAUCAGCAUAGCUGUGGUAGGAGAAGCCAUGCGAGCGAAUGACAGCGCAGAGAGAGUUGGUGUAGAGCGAGAAGAGGAGGGGACCCAGGACGGAACCCUGAGGAACUCCAGUAGUAAGAGGACAAGGUUCCGACACAGAUCCUCCCCAGGUUACCCGGUAGGUGCGGCCGUCGAGGUAGGACGAGAGAAGGGAGCGAGCAGAGCCUGAGACACCAAGUUCCUGAAGGGAGGAAAUAAGGAUCUGCUGGUUGACUGUGUCAAACGCAGCAGAGAGGUCCAGAAGGACGAGGACAGAGGACAGAGAGGAGCUCUAGCAGUGUGGAGUUGCUCUGAGACAGCAAGGAGAGCAGUCUCUGUGGAACGGCCUUGAAGCCUGACUGGUGGGGGUCCAGGAGGUUGUUAUGGUGGAGAUAGGAGGAGAGCUGGUUAAAGAUGGCAUGUUCUUACAUAUGAUGGUGUCUCUAUCUGAUGGUGGGUGUCCCUGCAGUGGUCACACCUGGUUUACUACUCUCAAUAUUUGAAGCAUUUCUGUCGUAGGAAUUGAAUGUAUUUUACAUUGUUCGUUCUGUACACAUGACAUCCAUCCGAUGUGAGGUAUUGGGACAGAGGAUGUCCUACAGUGUGGACACAGACUCUAAAGCCAUCUGAGGAUAAUUUGUGAUUUUAGGCUACAUAAAAUAAAGUAAAAUUGAAUUGAAUUAUUCCAUCUCCCCUCGCAGUGAGCACGGCUCCACUGCAGCAUUGCAGAAUAAAACCAGUGGUCCUGCCAACAACAAAGGGGAGGAGAGGAGGGAGGUUACGAGAAGGAGAGCAGUAAGGAUGGAGAGCAGAGGAAGAAACACGGAGCGAACAGAGGAAAGAGACACUGAUACAAAAGAAAGAUGGAGAGGCGGCUGACGAUGUUUAAGACAAGUCGCAGGUGCAGCAGCUUUAUGUACCUGUCCUUUCUCUCUCUGUCCCUGUACCCCACCCCCCCUGUCUGAGUGCCAGGGCGGUGGUGCAGAGGCUAAAUCAAUCACCUCUCUCGCCUCCUUCCCCUCCACCCUCUUACACAUUGUGCUGACGUAGUCGCUGCACUUUGUGUCUCAUCACGUUACACAAGAUGAGACACAAAAGAAUCGUUCCACAAACCUUUAAAUAUUGUGAAAGAUGAAACGUUACUUCAUAUGAGUUACUGCACCAUUAUGAGGACGUUGCAUUGUCUCUGUUUGCUUUUGUCUCAGACACACACACACAGCCAUUGUGUGUUUUCUCUUAACGGCCAUUCAAGGGCAAGCGGAGUGAAUCCUUGCUGACACACACACACACACUCCUCCCACACAAUGUGUGUGUCUGUGUGUAGAAGUGUGUGUAUAGGAGCAUGUUUGUUGGUGUGGUGUGUUUGUGUAGGAGUAUGCGUGUGUGUGUGUCCACGUGUAGGAGUGUGUGAUUGUGUGUGUGUGUCUUUGUGACUUAAUUAACUUUAAUCUAAAGAUCUGAGUUUUCACAUUAAAAUGAUGAGCCAAUAUAGAAUCAAUAACACUCACGUGUGCAGAAGAAGACUUCAGUAUUUGUGGUAUAAAAAUCCGCAAAAUGUUUUUAUUCAUUUGAAAUGUUUUAUUGAAUUCAAAUCAGUUCUUCAUGUUAACAAAUCAAAUCAACCAUUCUGCAUCCUAAUGAUUCAUAUUGCUUAUGAUGCACAAAAUAAAGACAAUCUGUGUGACUAUCAGAACACACACACUCUCACACACACACACACACACACACACACACACACACACACACACACACACACACACACACACUCACACACUCUCACACACACUCUCACUCUCACACUCACACUCUCACACACACACAGACACACACACACUCACACACACACACACACACACACACACACACACACACACACACUCACACACACACUCACACUCUCACACACACACACUCACACACACAGGUUAAGAGAUUGUCGUUGUAUUUGUAGUUGUGUUGUCUCUGUAUCCAGUGGGUCAAAGCAGGUUUCCCCUGAACAAACGAUGACAUGUUUCCCACAUGCAUCAGGUGUGUGUGUGUGUGUGUGUGUGUGUGUGUGUGAUGACAGCUUACUAUCACAGUCAUUGUGUAUGAAUGACACAACAUUGUGAGUCAUAUUGAGAUGCCUCUAAGUUUGUGAGAUUCUGAACUGGUGACGGAGCAUAAAACAUAUUUCUUCUUAAAGAAAUGAUGACGUUGGUUUCAUUGUAGCUGUUUUAUGUUUAUUAACAUUAUGAAUCAUUUUGUUGCCUCGAGUUAACCGACACAACAUAAAGGGUUGUUUCACAGGGUUAAAGGUCAAAUACCUGGGACUCGUUGUCCUUGUAAAGACGUUCCUUCACGGGCAAGCUAAAGUGUGCAAAACUACGCUACAUGGAUUAAGGUUACAUCCCAGCUGAUGACGUCACCAGGAGGGCGUAGCCCCCUCCCCCAUCACCCUGUGUGACUCCCCCGUCACCACGGUGGAUUCCAUCCGUUUCCUGGGCUCCAUCAUCACCCAGGACCUCAAGUGGGAGCUGAACAUCAGCUCCAUCACCAAGAAGCUCAGCAGAGGUUGUUCUUCCUGAGGCAGCUGAAGAAACUCAACCUGCCAAAGACGAUGAUGGUCCACUUCUACACGGCCAUCAUGGAGUCCAUCCUCUGC